AGUACCUAGGAUAUCUACCCAAAAUGCAUCUCUGGCAAAUAUCGGAGGAACUGUUAGAGACAAGGACUUGUUCAAAAAACUUUCUUUAGUUGCUUCCUUCCAGCACAUCAGCUACUCUGUUCUGCUCCCUGUAAAUGUUGCUCACCACCACUUUCCACAUCUUUGGAUGAUUGGUCUGUAUUCACAAAAGAGGGUCAAAAAUUAGAUUUUCAUUUAUUAACAUGUUUAUUGUUUCUGCUGAAUCAGUAUCUAUUUCUAAUAGAACUAGGUUGUUUAGUUCUGCUAGUUGUAGAUCCCAGAUAAGGGCCUAGAAUUAUGCUCUUGUUUUUGUUGUUCGAUAUAUGUUGUUC
rnacentral:lncRNA from 1 species